rnacentral:rRNA from 1 species
UACGUAUGGUGCAAGCGUUAUCCGGAUUUACUGGGUGUAAAGGGAGCGCAGGCGGCACGGCAAGCCUGAUGUGAAAGCCCGCGGCCCAACCGCGGGACUGCAUUGGGAACUACCGGGCUGGAGUGCCGGAGAGGUAGGCGGAAUUCCUAGUGUAGCGGUGAAAUGCGUAGAUAUUAGGAGGAACACCAGUGGCGAAGGCGGCCUACUGGACGGUAACUGACGCUGAGGCUCGAAAGCGUGGGGAGCAAACAGG